rnacentral:rRNA from 1 species
CAACAGGGAUUGCCCUAGUAACGGCGAGUGAAGCGGCAACAGCUCAAAUUUGAAAUCUGGCCUCGGCCCGAGUUGUAAUUUGCAGAGGAAGCUUUAGGCGCGGCACCUUCUGAGUCCCCUGGAACGGGGCGCCAUAGAGGGUGAGAGCCCCGUAUAGUUGGAUGCCUAGCCUGUGUAAAGCUCCUUCGACGAGUCGAGUAGUUUGGGAAUGCUGCUCAAAAUGGGAGGUAAAUUUCUUCUAAAGCUAAAUACCGGCCAGAGACCGAUAGCGCACAAGUAGAGUGAUCGAAAGAUGAAAAGCACUUUGAAAAGAGGGUUAAAUAGCACGUGAAAUUGUUGAAAGGGAAGCGCUUGUGACCAGACUUGCGCCGGGCUGAUCAUCCGGUGUUCUCACCGGUGCACUCUGCCCGGCUCAGGCCAGCAUCGGUUCUCGCGGGGGGAUAAAGGCCCAGGGAACGUAGCUCCUCCGGGAGUGUUAUAGCCCUGGGUGUAAUGCCCUCGCGGGGACCGAGGUUCGCGCAUCUGCAAGGAUGCUGGCGUAAUGGUCACCAGCGACCCGUCUUGAAACACGGACCAAGGAGUCAAGGUUUUGCGCGAGUGUUUGGGUGUAAAACCCGCACGCGUAAUGAAAGUGAACGUAGGUGAGAGCUUCGGCGCAUCAUCGACCGAUCCUGAUGUUUUCGGAUGGAUUUGAGUAGGAGCGUUAAGCCUUGGACCCGAAAGAUGGUGAACUAUGCUUGGAUAGGGUGAAGCCAGAGGAAACUCUGGUGGAGGCUCGCAGCGGUUCUGACGUGCAAAUCGAUCGUCAAAUCUGAGCAUGGGGGCGAAAGACUAAUCGAACCAUC